rnacentral:lncRNA from 1 species
CUGCCUCCCGAGUGCUGGGAUUAAAGGUGUGCGCCACGAUGCCCGGCUUAGUUUACUCCUUUAUCUCUGGCUUAGAAGGCAGCUUCUGGCCUUCAGUUGAGACGGCUGGAGAGGUUCAGUGUCUGAGGACUCAGGGCCACCUUAGGGGACUCCAGGGCAAGAGCAGCAGGCAUUCUCCCUCUUCUCCUCUCAGCACCAGCAUCUCUGCCUUGAGUCUCUCCUGCUUUCCCAAGGCUGCAUCUGAAGGGCAGAGUUGAGGAACGCUUCGAGGUCACAACCCCCAGUUGCAGUCAGAAAUACAAACCAUGUUUCUGACUUUAAGGCUAAUUUCCUCUCAGCCUGGGCUCCUCAUUCCUGGGGAGGGGGGGGGCCUUCUAACCCUAAAAGCUUUGGGUUUGACUGAGGCCUCCCCCCCUUACACAUACACACACACACAGACACAAUCAGUGAAAGAGCCCUGAGCACGCGCUCACGUGGGUUCUCGGACCCCAGCACCAGAAGAGUUAAGUCAUCCUCUGCAGAAGGGACAGAAAGUUGUCCAUACAGGAAGCUGUUCUCCAGUCCCAAAAGCCUCUGGGGAGGGGGGAUGGGAGACAAUUUUUUUUUUUCAGCCUGUUUCUCAGGCUCCUCACCCUCCCUAGGGAUCCAGCUACAUGCCAGAGACUGACCCUUGACCUGGGCCCUUCCACUCCACCUCCCCAGCCGGAUAGACUCUGAUUCCACUCAGGGCCCCCAGGGUACUUAGAGAAUGGGACUCCCCCACUUCCUCGCUUCCUCACCUCCCUUUCUCCCCCACCACCCCAACUAUUCUCCCAAUCUGGUUUAUUCACCCCCACCCCCCAUGGUGCCUCACUCCUCUCCUGUGCCACAGACACGGAUCCUCCUCCGCCCUGGGUCCCCAGUCCUCGCGCCCCAACCCCCGCCUUCAUAAUCUUCUAAAAAUAAAAGCCAGUGAUUCAAGUUGGCAACUCCGGAAACACAUACUCCAGCCCAGGCAUCCGCCGGGUGGGGGACAAGGAAGGACCCACAAACAGAGAAAUACUCAGAAGAAACAGCUCAGGUGAAACAGAAGCAGAUUGCUCCCAGAGCUGACCCAAGGGCGGGUCCCAGGAGUAAAAACGGCCAAGUUGGAAUUUGAACUCAGAUACGCCGGACUCCAUAGCCUUUUCCCUCCAGCCUCUGUGCCUUAGCCUGAGGUGUGUGUGUGUGUGUAGCUGAAAUCUGGAAAGCGAGUGUGUUCUUAAUUUCAAGUAGUUCCAUGUGCCUUGGGACCAGAUAUCCGGAUAGAGAGAAACAGUAGUUUUCUGGGAAGCUAGGGUCUCCGUCUGUACUGUCCUGGUUCCCACACUGUCCCAAGUGGCAGAAUCCACGGGCACAAAUGACCCCAGGACCUAGCAUUCUUUAGUCAUCCUUAGUCAGUGCCUCUGAGCAGCUGCUGGGACGCUGGCUACAGGGAUUUAGGAAAUUGCUCACCAGCCUAAUUCCUUGUUUCCAGGGAUGGUCAGCCAGGCCUGCAAAACAGCAGUCUCGGCCCGGGCAGGCCACCUCUGGUCAGUGGUGGCCUCCUGCGAGAGAGCACCAGACGCUGUGUUUGCUUUUCCAUUUCCUUGAUUGGGUGGAGGCUGGGCCAGGCAGCUUGGACAGGCUGGGCAGCCCACAACUCGAUGUCAGAGAAGAUAAGACCAUCUAUCUUGUCAGUGUCUGUGAGCCAUUCUCAGCUCUCUGUUUGCCCAGUCAAGGCCUGUGCUCUUCUGCUGUAUAUGGCCUCUGCGUGCUAGACAACAAAUGGCCCCCUUUGCUGCGGCUCUGCAGAGGCCCUGUGUCCAGCUCUUCCUAUACCACGAGUGGGCAGUUUGGGAAUGCAGCCUUUGGUUUACACAAAAACUACACAUCACACGGGAGUUAGAUGGUGUGCUUGAGAGGAGUCUACCCUUAAAGUUGAUAAACACAGAUAAACACACGUAUGUGUGUCCGUCUAUGCCACAAGGCUUGGGUACAUUAGGUAAACACCACCGGAGUUGUAUCCCCAGCUCCUAUGGCCAUUCUUUGUUUUUUUUGUUUGUUUGUUUUUCGAGACAGGGUUUCUCUGUGUAGUCCUGGAACUCACUCUGUAGACCAGGCUGACCUCAAACUCAGAAAUCCGCCUACCUCUGCCUCCCAAGUGCUGGGAUUAAAGGCAAGCACCACCACCACCUGGCUUUCUUUGUUGUUUUUGAGACAGCAUUUCCAUGUAGUUUAGGAUAGCCCUCAGAUUUCAAACUUCAUAUGAAGUUGAGGGUGACCCUGAACUCCAGAUCUUCCUGCCUCUAUUUCAAAGCGCUAGGAGACGUUAGACCUGGCUACAUUUUUGGUAGUUAUGGAAUUUGAACUCAGAGCCUUACAUAUUGUACUACUGAGCUAUAGCCUCAGCUCAUUUAUGCUUUUACUUUGAGACAAGAUCUUGCUAAGUUGUCCACAGGCUGGCUUUGAACUAGCUAUGUAACCCAGCAACUUGAGAUCCUCCUGCCUCAGUCUUCCACAUACCUGGGGUUCCAGGUUUAUACCACCAUGUCUGACUCCAACAUACACUCUUAGUUUUUCUUGAUGUAUACAUAUAGGAUGGUGCACAUUGAGGUGGGGGGAGUGCAUGUACACAUUCACGUCGUAGAGGUGAGAGGACAACCGCAGGUGUCAGCCUCAGAACCACUGUCUCCUCUUUGAGAUGGAGCUACCUUUGGUUUGAUGUUCACCCGUUAGGCUAGAUUAACUGACUGGUCAGUGUGCUCUAGGAAUCAUCCACCUGUCUGCUUCCUUGGAGCUGAGAUUAUAACCCACACAACCACAGCUAACAUUUUUAUUUGACUUCUGUCUUAGUUAAGAUUUUACUGCUGUGAACAGACACCAUGACCAAGGCAACUCUUAUAAGGACAAUACUGGCUUACAGGUUCAGAAGUUCAGUCCAUUAUCAUCAAGGCAGGAUCAUGGCAGCAUCUAGGCAGGAGGAGCUGAGAGUUCUGCAUCUUCAUCUGAAGACUGCUAGCAGAAUACUGACUUCCAGGCAGCUAGGAUGAGGGUCUUAAAGCCCACACCCACAGUGACACACCUACUCCAACAGGGCCACACCUUCUCAUAUUGCCACUCCCUGGCCAGAGCAGGUUCUGUGGAAUAAACUGAGAUGAGUACUUUAUUAACAACUAUGGUCACCCUCAUACACAUUUUUAUUUAUUACUUACUCAAAAGACAACUCUUAGGGGUAGGUUGAUAUUCAUCUUCAUUUUGCAAGUGAGGAAGCUGAAGGCAGAGUCUUAGAGUUAGAAAGUAGAAGAGCUGGGAUUUGAACCCUCAGAUUAUAGACAAGUUACUUUCCCUAUGGUCACUCCUCUCCAAACCCAUUGGCCUUUGUGCAUGCCCCACAGGCACACAUACCCCACAGAUUACCUUCUGGAUGUUUAAAACUGCUGCAGGUAGUUCUUACGGAUAAGCCAUGACCAGUAACCUAGGUAAGGCUUUAUGAUAAGCCUCUAAUUGGCUGCUGGCCAGCGCCUAUCCUCUUGGUACAAGCUCUUCUGAUCAGUUUUACUUGUGGACGCUGUCAUACCUAUAAAGCCCUGUUAAGUUCAUCUCAUUAUUGCAAUUCUUCAUAGGUACCUGCUACCAUAAAAAAAAAAAAAAUCACCUGUCCUUUCAUGCUUGUCAUUUGAAAUCCUAAUUUAUAUAAAUUCCUUUUGUCCUUUGUGGUUUUAGGUCCUACCUGAUCCUCCCUCCCACUGUGACCUUGGGGGUUCCAGGACAAGUUUCAUUCAGAUCCCCUCCUCAUUCCUAUCCAGACAGCCUUGAUACAUAAAUUUAACUCUAGCUUUGCCCAUUCUGCUAUCUUGCCUGUGGACUCAUCCCUUCUGCCCUCCUGUGACUGCCUCCAGGGUCUCGGCCAAUGCCUGUGCCUCUGAGUUGGUGCCACAGAGCAGCUCAGUACAUGUAACUUAAAAGGAGCCUGAGGUUGAGCGACAGGAGACAGAACCUGGGAGACCCAGACAGUAAGAAUGGUUUGUGUGGACUCAGAGGCAGAACUCAGAAACACAGCCAGGUGAAAGAGAGGGAGGGUUGGGAAGGAUCAUACAAAGGAUGGAAGCCAGGCAGCGGUGGUGCACACCAUUAAUCCCAGCACUUGGGAGGCAGACAGUCGGAUCUUUGUGAGUUCAAGGUCAGGCUGGUCUACAGAGCAAGUUCCAGGACAGCCGAGGCUGCACAGAGAAAUCCUGUCUCAAAGAACAACAAACAAUCAAACAGUCAAACAAACAGAAAUGAGUAGAGUGGAGAGGGGGGUGGGGAAGGGGAGGUGAGGGAGGGGGAAUCAUUCCCUUAGGUUAGAACAAUCCUUAGCUCUCUGCAUGGGAAGAGCCUUCAGAGAUCAGCCAGUCCAGGAGUGGCAAAGCACUCAUAAGCUCUAGUGGGAUGAGCCUGCAUGCACCCUGAGAAGAGCAUGCUAGUGUUGGUUGGUAAUGUCUGCUCUGGGCACUGAAUUGGAAUCAGUGGUGUAUACACUGGAAUGUCACGAAUUUGCUUCAGCUGGCACCUUUGCAAAGUAGAACAACGAAGAGUCUAGGGUAGGGUAUCUAGCUAAGGUUUCAACCCUACCCUGCUCUUUUGCAAGAGGGACUUGUGUAGCUGAGGCUGCCCUUGAACUCCUGGUUCUCCUACCUCUACUUCCAAGGUGAUAGGAUUACAGACUUUUGACAACCAUACCCAAACUGGAAUUUCCAAAUUUAACACAGACAAGGGACUUGGGGAAUAUAGUGGAUUUGGGUACCUAGUGUGUGAUAAUGGUCGGUGAGAGAGCAGACAGCCCGCAGCUGUGGAGAAGGUUGUAGCAUGUCACAGACCAGACGUGGGGCAAGUGUUUCCACUGAGUGCUAGCUCACUGGACUUGCCUAGCAUCUGCCUCUGCCUUGUUUAUUUCACUUCUGAUUUCCCCAUCUUGGUCUCCCCAUAGAAGAAUAGGAGGCUCUUUGGAGCAAGAGCUUCCUGUAAACGGAGUCAAAACUACAGUUGAGAGGCGAGAAGACAGGGUGGGGAUGGGGAGAAUAGGCUUGCACAGGGAUGGCACCCGUAUGCAGAGACCCUGGCAGUGUGGACUCUGAAAGGAGGCAGCUAUGGAGGAGCAGGGCAGAGAAGAGCAGGGACCAUUAAGCCAGAGUGUCCUGGCUGGAGGAUGCAAAUGGGACUAGAAGGUCCAGGUACUCAGGACUGGCCCACCUUUAAAGUUGGCUCAUGAGCCUCUGCCCUCUUCCAUUCCUAUGUGGGCUAUCUUCCUCUCCAGUCCAUCUUUCUCUUCUCCAUGUCCUUGUCCGCAUCCAUACCACAGUGCCUCCUGGGUAUAUGGUGAGAAUGGUCCUAUCAGAGUUAAGCCAAGGGGCUGAUUGAAUCUAGAUUAUGGGGCUAAGGCUAGGCAAAGAAAAUAGGCUUCGAGAACACUCUAGAGCAGCUCAACAUCCCACCAGCUUUCUGUAAGAGAAAGUAGGCCUAGAGAGGAGGAGGCUGCCAGUGUCAGUAACCAGGUUAAACAGUCACUGUGAUAUGCCCUCAGACUCUCAUCUUCCUGCAGGAGAGCACUCCCAGAUCCUGCCCACAGAACUGCCCUUCAUCAUGUCUUGUUAGAAAGGCCUCUUCGACCUUACCCCUGGAUAGAUACAGGAUUGGAUCUGGCUCAUCCAUCCAUGAACCACAAGUCACUCAAUAGAAACAGACCCAGUGCCAUCAGCUGAGGGCCUUUCCCUGAUCUCUUAGGGAAAAGGUGUUUUGUUUUCUGCAGAGUUUGCUACUGUAGGAAAUUUAAGUAUGGGCUGCUUAGAGCAUUUGGGGUUCGGCUACCCAGAGAGUAAAGCUAACACAAAUGAGAGCAGACCUGAGUCGAAGAGACAGAUGCCCAGUAACAUUGUCUGAAUGCCCUGAUCCAGAUACGCCUGAAACCUCUCUCUGAGUUUGUUUCCAGUUAUGUGGGAAAAAGCUUAAGCUGUCCUGAUUUGGGUUUCUGUCUCUGUGUCUGUCUGUCUGUAUCUCUGUGUCUGUCUCUGUGCCUCCAUCUCGCUUCCCUGCUCCCCACCCCAGGCUCGCAUGUAGCCCAAGCUGGUCUUAGACCCUCUAUGUAGCUAAGUUUGAUCUGAAGCCCUGCUCCUCCUGCCUCUACUUCCCAAGUAGGGAUUAUAGACAUGUGCCAUCACGCAUCGCAUGGUUUUAUGUGACGCUGUGGCAGGCAAGCGCUGCACCAACUAAGCUACAUCCUCACCCUCUUCACUCGGAUUCCUAACUGUUUACAUGCAAGAGGCUGUAGAUCAGCCUAGAGAAACAGGGAUAGAGAACUUAAAGAGAGAAGUAGCUGGCAAGAUGAGGAUCAAGUCUGAGGAGACAGCAGAGGUAUGUGUUUGGGGGUGGGUGGGGGUAUAUGUAUGUGAGUUUCUGGUUGGGGGUGGGGACCUAUUUGGAUUACUGAGCUGACAUUCCUGAACCAGGAGGACGAGAGCUUACUGAAAAGAACACGGGGCCAAGGAGGAUUUUUUUUCAGAGAAGCCUAUCCAAGAUGGGUGUCUCUCCAUGUGAUGAUAGCUGUCCAUUCGAGCCCCAAACCUGUACAGGUGGUAGGACGACAUAGAACAAGAGGAAGACAGUGUCAGCUGGAGUGUAUCUGAUGUAACCGGAUUUCUUCCGAUGUACAGUAUACAAAACUCAGCGAUAGACACCAGAGGCCUGGGAAGAACGGAAUGGCCCGGGGUUGCCUCGUUCUGAUGCAUCGUGAGGUGGCCCAGAGAGAUGACCUCAGCACUCCCCUCUGUAACGGCAAAAACCUCCACUGAUUAUGGACUCGACGAAGUGAACUCUGGGGCCCCCAACCAGGGCAUCGUCUGCUGAGACUACCUCUGGAGAUGCCAGGCCAGAUGGGGAUGAUGGGAGGAAAUGGUGCCCAGCACUGAUAAGCCACUCCCUUCCUUUGUCCCAGACGCACUUCAAUGUCUGCUAUGUCUUUGCAUUGGGAAUCCUCAAGGGAGAGACAGAGAACAGACAGACAAACAGGGUGGAGGGGCCUCUUCCUGGUGCCAGGGAGCCUCUUUACCCCUCCCCACCUUUCCUCACUUCCUCUCACUGGGGAACCAUGAAAACCAUAUAAAGAAACCUCAGCUGUAACAAUAAAAUGCAUAUAUGUAAUACAUGUGCACAUAUAAAAUAUUUGUGAAUGUAACCAGUAGAUAACAUUGUUAUUUCCUUCUUUGGUUUACAGUCUGGCCUGUGUCUUCUCAAAGCCACAUAGUAUUACACUUAUUUCCUCCCUGGUUGAUGGCCAUUGAGGUUGCUCCUGAGUUUCUGCUAUUGCAAACAAGAACAUCUAGACACUGCGCAUGUGUGAAUGUUUCUAGAGGAUUCAUUCCUAGAGAAGAGAUUGCUGGCUCAAAAUGCCUAUGAAUUUUUCAUUUUGAAAGAUUGUGCCAAGUUAGAGUGGAGACCUUUUCCCUGUGACGGAGCCUUCCAUCUCUGGGGCUUAACUAGAGAUGAAAGAUAUCUCGGCCAGAAAGAGCACAGGGUUUCCAUUAGACAAGGGCAUGUUCUAGUCCUGGCUCUGCCACCUUCUCGUGUGACUUUGACUAAAUCACUUAAUCUCUGUCUGUCUGUCUGUCUGUCUCCUCUUCUUCCCUCCUUUUGUCCCUCUCUCCCUUGUGUGAUAUAUGUAUGGUGGGCACAUUUUGUAGCACAUAUAUGGAGUUCAGAGGACAACCACAGGUUGGCCCUUUGAAGCAGGAUUUCUUUGUCAUUCACCAUUGCAUAUACCAGGUUAGCUGUCCCAGUACAGAACAGGCUUUUGACCAGCAUAUGUUCUAGUUCCCUAUCUGAACUCUCUAUAUCCACCAUGGCAAACCAGCUCUGGAGAGAGGCUGCCAAAGAUACUUAUUAGUUGUCAUUGCAGAAGUCAGGAUUGCACCAAGGUCUUUUCCCUUCAUGGUCUGUUCAGCUCAGCCACUGCUCAGGAGGAAGGGGUCAAGAGUAGAACAAUGGCUGGGUUUGGUGACAGGGAAUGACCAGAAGCAGUCUACAUAGAGCAUGGAACCCGAACCAGUAAAGGAAGUACAGCAAAGGCCUGAUGUCAGCAGCGGAGGGCAUCAGUGUUAGGAGCCCAAUUCAGAGGGAGGGAUUCGGAGAAGGGGUCUGGAAGUCCUUGGUGACAUGGCAGCAGCAGAUCACCUCCAAAGUCCCCGUGGGGACCCUCAGCUGCAGAUCACUGUACUCUGUAAUCUCCAGGCUUCCUGUGGUAUCAGAUCCAUUGUCUUCUGCCCCUGGCAGUGUAACGGGCCAUGGGACAAGCAGACCAGGCUGCUCUUCCUGGAAGAGAGUGCAAAAACUGCUGGCAUGGGAAUCAGAGGGGUGAUCCAAAAUGGUGGAGCCGAGCAGCUUUGUGAGAGCAGUGCUGGCAAAGUCUCCAGAAGGUGGAGUCGUGAUGGGUGGUGAUCCGUGGGCUUGGCAGUGGGCCUGAGAAGCACGCUCUGAAGCCUGAGUCUGGACAGGUGGUUCUCAUUCCCAGACCCAUCCAGUACAUGCUCUGAGGUUCAGGGGAGUCAUGCAUUCUUUUAAAUAUCAUUUUCUUCCUUGGUAAAUGAAGAUAGCAACCUCCCCGGUGCAUAGCUCCAGAGGCUGGGUGUGGUGGCUUUGCCUGUAGUCGGCACUCAGGAGGCUACGGCAGGAGGAUUUGGAAUCAAGGCCAGUUACAGAAUGAGAUUCUAUCUCAAUUUAAGAAACAAAAACGGAGCUGAGUGGAGUGUGGUGGCUUACAACUGUAAAUCCCAAGACCAGAGAGAGGCUGACAUAUGAGGAAUAUGAAGAAUUCAAAGCCAGCCUGAGCUAUAUAGUAAAUUCUAGGUUAGCAAGAAAUGCAGAGUGAGAUUUUUUGUCUCAAAAACAAAUAAACAAGCAAACAAAGACAAAACAAACAUCCUAAAAGAACCCAGAAAAAUCAGGAAAGUAUAAAGGGGCCUUGUUGGGAGGAAUGGGGGGAGCAAUAGUGAGGGUGGAUUUGAUUGGAGACGUGGGAAAAAUGGGGGAACUCUAAUGGCAGGGGAUUGUGGAAGAGGAAAGUGGGUAAAAUAACAGGAAAAAUGUCUGAAAAAAGUCACAAGUAUCAUACUAUUCCCCAUCUAUCUAAAAGUCCUUGUAAUAGUUGGAGGUUAAUAAUAAACAUACAGAUAACAUUUAAAUGAGCAGUUUGCAUCUGGCCUGACAAUGCUUUCUCUAAGAUCCAGAUACCAUGUAACAAAAACUCCAACACUAGGUGUGAAAAGGCCUUUUCUGAAUUGUUGGUCAGGGUUGUCCAAGAGACUCUCAAAUUGCAUGCCACUGCUAUUGCCCUCAGUUGCCCCCAGAGGAGGAAGGUAAGUCUCUAUUGAUGAAGAGACCAUGCCCUUCAGACACAGAGUUCAGAGACCCCUGAGCUGAGAAUGAUCUGAGUGAAUGCUUCCUCUCUGAGGACUAGUUUUCAUGAUGCCAUUCAAGCUUCCAGUGGAGAAAAGUAUCCAGGUUUAAAAUGUAAAGAAAUAAUGCAAUAUAAAGAAAAAUCUAGCCGGGUGGUGGUGGCGCACGCCUUUAAUCCCAGCACUCGGGAGGCAGAGGCAGGCGGAUUUCUGAGUUCGAGCCCAGCCUGGUCUACCAAGUUACCAAGUGAGUUCCAGGACAGCCAGGGCUAUACAGAGAAACCCUGUCUAGAAAAACCAAAAAAAAAAAAAAAAACAAAACAAAAACCAACCAACCAAACAAACAAAAAAAAGUAUCCAGCUAUCACACCCAUGAUCCACAACAGUAAACACCUGGCACGCAUACCUUAGCAGUAACCAACAACUGUCUAAUUGGACUUAAGACCUACCUGUUUGCAGGGUGGUGGCUCACACCUUUAGUAACUCACCUGCCUUUGUCCUGCUUCUGUACCUGCAAGGGUAGCUGCUCUGCUCUCCAAUCAAAUAGUGAGAUCAUGGUCUUAUUCUUGUAAAAAGUUCAUAAUAUCCUGUCACGCUUGUCAACAGCUACCACAUCUACAUCAACAGAAAGUACCCAACAUAUAGGGGUUGUCUCUAUAAACUUCCUGCUUUACUGACUUGGGGCCACCUCUUUAGACUUGUAGCCACAGGAGAGUGUGCCGUCCCCUCCCCCCUUCCCGUGUGCCUCCCUCCCUUGCCUUGGUCUGUGUGGCUCAAUAAAAAUUCCAAAUUCAUCAAGAGCUUAUCCUGGUCUUUUUCUCUUGGGUGAGAGCAGCCUGGCUAAAACAUCAUCAAGGAAAUUUCUCUUUGCAACAGAUCGAGACCAUUAGAAAAAAGCCACAACCAAUCAAAAUGCAGAGCCCUGGAGCUCAGACCCCAGGGUCCAUCUAUGAAAGAACCUGGCACCUAAAGUUAAGGGAUUAUUACACAAGAGCGGGCAGAAAAAUGAUAAGAGCCAGAGGAACAGAGUUUGCUGUGAGAUUGUCUCCUUGGAAAGUCAGAAGCUACCUACCCUUGUGAAGUUCCAUCAACAACCACCUAAACAGGCACUGGAGGAGGACAACACUAGACAUGCUAACACUAACAGGGCUAGGGGAAAGCCCAAGAACCACAGCCCUCGACAAAGACCUGCAGGCAACAAAGGACUGGAGUGGGGGUGGGGGUGGGAGGGCCUAGACUUCCCCAGGGAAGAGCUUACCAAUUGAUUAUCCCAUACUGAGUGGUCAGCCCUGAAAACAUCCAUACAAGUAACAUUAUACAGACUGAGCAAGUUGUAUGCAGGAAUAUGAAGUGCUUGUGUGCGUGCUUGUGUGUGUGUGUGUGUGUGUGUGUGUGUGUGUGUGUGUGUACAAUUAAUAAAAAAGAAGGUCAUGUUGAAUGUCUUUAAUCCCAGCAUCCAUUCAGAAGGCAGAGGCAGGGAGAUCUCUGAGUUUAAAGUUAGCCUGGUCUAGAGAGAGAGUUCCAGGAUAGUCAUAUCAAAAACAAACAAAAUACAAACAAAACAAGAACCAAACCAAACAAACAAAAAAGAAAAAGAAGAAAAAGAAAACCAAAAAGAUCAAGGAAUGGUAUAUGGGAGGGUUUGGAGAGAGGAAAGGGAAUGGUGUAAUUAUCCUAUAAUCUGGAAAAAUAAAAGAAAUGAAAACUUAAAUCCUAGCGAGUCAGCAUUAGUUGUGUACUCAGGAGACAGGGACGUGAGGAUCAGCAGUGUAAGUCUGUACUCUGCUACAUAUGGAAUCUGAGGCCGGCCUGGUCUAUACAAGACUGUGUCUUUAUAAAAAAAAAAAAAAGAAGAAAGAAAGAAAGAAAGAAAGAAAGAAAGAAAGAAAGAAAGAAAGAAAGAAAGAAAGAAAGAAAAAGAAAAGAAAGCGGGUAGUGGUGGCGCACGCCUUUAAUCCCAGAGGCAGGUAAAUUUCUGAGUUCAAGACCAGCUGGGUCUACAAAGUGAGUUCCAGGACAGCCAGGGCAACACAGAGAAACCCUGUCUCGAAAAGCAACAACAACAGUAAGAAAGAAGAGAAAAAGAGAGAAAGAAAGCUUUUUUGUCAUGCCUUUCUCUCUGUUGAUGGUUAUUGCUGGUGCUGGAAAUGGAACACAGGACCUUGAAUAUUCUGAGCCAGUGUUCCACCGCAGAGCCACCCUGCAUACCAACAGCAGAUCUUAUUAAUAAGUUCACACUAAGAGUGGCAUCAACCCUUGUAUGAUUGCUCAUUGCUGUAAUUUCAAUACUUAAGCAAUAGAGUCAGGGGUUCAAAACCAACCUCAGCUACAUAAGUCUGAGACCAGUCUGAAUCACAGGAGUCCCUCUCUAAAUAAAUAAGUAAAUAGAGUAUUCAAGUUGGUGGGCUUUGAGGAGGUGACAAAGCAGUUUUGUUUUGUUUUGUUUUGUUUUGUUUUGUA